AGUACAAGACAGCUGAGAUCACACCUUCCUGGCUUCACUACAGCAAACCAGCAUUAUCCUGGUGCAUUAUCUGUUCUAUGGUAAUAGAAGACGCAGAGAAGAAAAAAGAAGCAUCCUGUUCCUUUUAUCAAGCCACCUAGGUAGAUUCUUGAAUCCACCUCCUGGAAAGGAGACAUAAACCUGCUGCCUGAGCUGUCUUAAGAGCUUGAUCAAGCAGUGAGGAGGUCAGUAUUGAACGCUGAUGUGAACAUUGACUUUUAAAGAAGCGGCUUCUAGCAGAAGGCCUGCCCCACUCCUUCUUAAGGAAAGACUUGAGAUAUAAACCACAAUGGGAAAAAAGAAGUGAAGCUAUUGGAAGAUGCUACGUUUCAGGGAAUUGUCUGUCUUUCUACCAACGGGAUCCAGUGAAGUCAGAGCAAGAGCCAACUCAGCAGUGAAAGCAUCAGAGGAAUAAUGGGGAAAAAAGCGCAGAGAAGAUCAGUAAUAAGAAACUUUUUCCUAUUAUUCAAAGUGAUUACGGAAUGAGUCUCUGUGAGUUUUUGUGGAACACGUUAAAAAAAACAAGAUUCUCCCACAUCCUCUUAAAGGUAGGUGGUGAUAGUUUCCCUGGUUCACUCUGUGUAAUCCAACUGCCAGUGACCCCCAGUAACAACGUCGUGAACUCAGCAGUCCUCCUAGUAGCUCUUUAAGGCUGCAUUAACCCCUUUUUGCAUUAAGGGCAGGAAGCUGCACCAUUAAAGAAGUGAUUGGGUAUGUGAAAAUAUUUCACCAAAUAUUUCUCCUGUUAGAGAGCAAAUGAGUCAGCCAGAAAAUAGACACCUUUAAGUGAUGCUUGCUGUAAACACACAUGUAUUCAUGCCAUGUAUGCAUGCCAUGUAACAGCGUGGCCUCAUGAUGGUCCUGAGGAAAGAGUUUAUGGGAGGUUGGUGCUGUGCACAUGUGGAGCACAAUAUUCUGGGGUCAGGCAACUCCUGCUCAAAGUUAAAAAUGAGAUGCAGAUGUACACUGAGGUCUGUAUGAGCGCUUUUGGAAAACUGCCUAAAAUCUAAGCCAAGCCAGUGAGUCACCGGCAU